GUGGGACUGCGCAGUCACGGGAGAAGAGGGCUCGGAAAUAAAAUCAGCUGUCCCUCAGUGCUUGUUGGACAGAGUUAACAUAGUGAGGCUGCUGGAGGAGCUGGUCUCCACCACCACAGCAGGAUUGGAAAGACUGCUGGCACAUUAGUUGACCUGCAGGCCAGGCUGAGCACAACUGACCCGAUCUGUGGAUUUCUGUCACACUUCACACUUGUCCAUUUAAGCUAGAUCUACUCGCAGUUGGGAAACACUUUCCCUACAUAGAACCUACCUAUAUGGAUUCCUUCAGGUAUGGAAAUGCUUGGGCUGGCAGCAGCUCAUUAUCUUAACGAUGUUUUACAACAGGCAGUGAGACAUAAAUCUAUAAUCUCACAUGUUUAAUUGGACCGUCAGUGGGACAUUGUGCAAUUGAUUUGAAUAAUACAUUAAGAAGGAAGACAUUCUUGAUCCUUUGGAGUCCCAUUUCAAGCUGGCAACAUCCUGCAUGAUGCAAGUAUAAGCUGGAUAUAGUAACAAAGUGACUUCAUAUGCCAACAACAUAGAGUUAAAUGCUUUAAGAUAUGGCUGACAGCCAGUCUGUUUUCUUGUCUAGAUAUAACUUCUGCACACUGUUGCUCAGGUAAACAUUCACAUGCCUCACACCCCAACAACCUCUGAUAAAUGCAUAUUGCAAGGAUAUAAAGAUCCUCUGCCCUUAGAAUAUG
ensembl:lncRNA